rnacentral:tRNA from 1 species
AUUUAAGUAGUUUAUUUAGAAUAACAAUUUGUGGUAUUGUAGGAAAUUUAAUUCUUAAAUU